rnacentral:rRNA from 1 species
UACAGAGGGUGCGAGCGUUGGCCGGAAUUAUUGGGCGUAAAGGGCUCGUAGGCGGUCUGUCGCGUCGGUAGUGAAAACUCAGGGCUUAACCCUGAGCCUGCUUCCGAUACGGGCAGACUAGAGGUAUGCAGGGGAGAACGGAAUUCCUGGUGUAGCGGUGAAAUGCGCAGAUAUCAGGAGGAACACCGGUGGCGAAGGCGGUUCUCUGGGCAUGACCUGACGCUGAGGAGCGAAAGUGUGGGGAGCGAACAGG